rfam:Nomascus leucogenys chromosome 21, whole genome shotgun sequence.
GCCGGGCAUGGUGGCGGGUGCCUGUAAUCCCAGCUACUCAGGAGGCUGAGGCAGGAGAAUCGCUUGAACCCAGGAGGCGGAGGUCGCAGUGCACCGAGAUCGUACCACUGCACUCCAGCCUGGGUGACAGAGUGAAACUCUGUCUCAA